GACGAACGCUGGCGGCGUGCUUAACACAUGCAAGUCGAACGGAAAGGCCCUGCUUUUGUGGGGUGCUCGAGUGGCGAACGGGUGAGUAACACGUGAGUAACCUGCCCUUGACUUUGGGAUAACUUCAGGAAACUGGGGCUAAUACCGGAUAGGAGCUCCUGCUGCAUGGUGGGGGUUGGAAAGUUUCGGCGGUUGGGGAUGGACUCGCGGCCUAUCAGCUUGUUGGUGGGGUAGUGGCUUACCAAGGCUUUGACGGGUAGCCGGCCUGAGAGGGUGACCGGCCACAUUGGGACUGAGAUACGGCCCAGACUCCUACGGGAGGCAGCAGUGGGGAAUAUUGCACAAUGGGCGGAAGCCUGAUGCAGCAACGCCGCGUACGGGAUGACGGCCUUCGGGUUGUAAACCGCUUUCGCCUGUGACGAAGCGUGAGUGACGGUAAUGGGUAAAGAAGCACCGGCUAACUACGUG
rnacentral:rRNA from 1 species